GACGAACGCUGGCGGCGUGCUUAACACAUGCAAGUCGAACGGUGAACCUCUUCGGAGGGGAUCAGUGGCGAACGGGUGAGUAACACGUGGGCAACCUGCCCCCGGCUCUGGGAUAACUCCAAGAAAUUGGGGCUAAUACCGGAUGUUCACCGCUUCCCGCAUGGGUGGUGGUGGAAAGGGUUUCCGGCGGGGGAUGGGCCCGCGGCCUAUCAGCUUGUUGGUGGGGUAGUGGCCUACCAAGGCGACGACGGGUAGCCGGCCUGAGAGGGUGACCGGCCACACUGGGACUGAGACACGGCCCAGACUCCUACGGGAGGCAGCAGUGGGGAAUAUUGCGCAAUGGGCGGAAGCCUGACGCAGCGACGCCGCGUGGGGGAUGACGGCCUUCGGGUUGUAAACCUCUUUCAGCAGGGACGAAGCGCAAGUGACGGUACCUGCAGAAGAAGCACCGGCCAACUACGUG
rnacentral:rRNA from 1 species